rnacentral:sRNA from 1 species
CUCGGGGCUCCAGCAGUUUCCAGGCUCCCCACGGCGGGGCUGAAUGAUCAAAACUGGUGCCUGCGGGUCCCCUCCCUGAAACGCGGUGUAAGAAGGCUUUACUGAUUAAUAUUUUGGACAGGCCGCGGCGGUCGGCAGCGGUGAGUUGCAUCUUAUAAAAAGGGUUCCUAUAGAAACCCGGGCUGUGGGGCUCUGCGGCCGAGUGCGCAACGCGCGCCCCUCCCCAAAGCCCCUUUUGGCGUGGGCGCUCCUCCUUUCCCCUCCACCCCCCCCCCAAGAAAAACCAGAGCAGAAAAAAGGAUUAGAUCGGCGGAACGCGAGCUGAAUCCCUCUCGGUUCUGACAUUUCAGCCCUAUUAGCAUUUCUCCACGGGGCCUUCUGAAACCUAUUAAGGUGUAAUAUUAAAAACCUCUUGGCUGGGGGCCUCUCUCGCCUUCCAUCCGCCGCGCCCCCUCCAGGGAGGGCGAGACCGGGAAAGGGAAAAAAAAAAAUCUGUUGAGCUCAGACGAAGCAAGCCAAGCCCAAAAGUGCUUGGCUGGCCACGGCGGCCAGAGGGGGAGGGGAGCACCAAUCCCCCAGACUUUGUACUUUUAUUUUGCUCUUUCAGCAAAAGAAAAAAAAAAAACUUUCGGGGUUAAGUGACCGGGAGCCGCCGACGGCAGAUAGACCUGGCUGGAGACCCAGGGAGUGUGGUCCUCGCCGAAGGGACCGGUCCUAAAAGGGUGGGGGGAUCCCCUGCACCCUCUCCGCAAGCCCUACAGGAGCCCGAGCCCAGCUAGGCAUUACCUACCCUGGAAAGGAAGCUUGGGAAGGCAGAGAGGCUUGCAGAUCCUGCCUCGAGAGCAACCGUGGUUAUAGGGUUUUAAUUAAAACAAAAGAAGCCCGCUCUUUCGCCCUGCUCUGCGGACUCAGCGUUUUCCUACUGCUGCUAUUUUUUUUUUUAAAGAAAAUCCAUUUUUAAGGCAAUUUUUGAGAGUUUUUUUUAAUGAGCUAGUUAGCGCUCAUCCGUUCUAUUUUUCUUUUCUCCACUUUUAGAAAGAAAAAAAAAGAGGGAAGAUUCUAGAGAGAGAGCUGGGGGUGUCUAAUUUAAUUCCAGGAUAAAUUUGAAGGGAAAAAAAUUCGGCCUCUUGAGAGCAGUUUCAAGUUGCCCUUCCUGGAGCUUUCUGCGCUGGUUUCUAGGCUGCCCUCUUUUAGAAGCUGGGGCUCGGUGGGGGGAGGAGGGAGGAGUGAGAAGGAGAGAAAAGAACGAAAAUAGCCGGAGCCGAGGGGAACUGAGCGGCGGUGUCCGCGCGCUCAGAGCUGGGCGAGCGGGUCUCAGUGGCAGCCAGGGGCAACCGGAGGCGACCGGUGCUGCCCGGGGACCGCCAGGAGCAAAGACGGAGAGAGGGGGGUUAGAGAAAGGAGGUAUUGUGUCUAUGUGCCUUAGGGGAGGGGGGAGUUGAUUGCAAGAAAUAAAAUAAAUGCUGUUACGCUGCGAGGGCUGAUGGAAACAAGAGAGACCGGCUGAGGGGGUGGGGGGCGCCUAGUGCCCUUGAGUCUUAUCCAGAGGCCUUUGUGGGUUCCCAGUUAAACCCUCCCACGCCUCAGUCGCUCGAUUUCCCCCACCCCCAACGCCCUCCAAUAUUCAGAGCGCAGGCCCUGAUCUCCCACCAACCCCCUCAUCCCUCUCGGGAUCCAGAAUGUUUUUCUUAUUUUAAUACAGCUCAAGAAAAAAUAUGUAUCUUGAGAGGAUCGGGGUGGGGGAUUGUGCAAAAGGCUUGCGGGAUUGGAAAAAAACAAAGGCCUGUUUUUAUAAAUGUUUAAUGUUUUCACCCCUGGAUGCUCCAAGACGCCGUAAUUGUGACGGCGGGGUAUGUGUGCCAUAAAUCAUUUAGCUGCUAAUAAAAAAUUAUUCCAAUUUUCCCCGGAUUUGCCGAUGGCGUUUGCAUUUUUCAAGUGUGCCCCGGGUCGGCGUGGCAUACCGACCCAGAGUUUCAUUAGGUCUGAGGUUGGGGCGGAACAUGACACGUCCCCCUCUGGAAUGUAUGACUCCCCGGUCCCCUCUCGACCUGCCACCCGGCCCCCAGGCCACCGGGGUGCGCUGGGCCUAGGGGACCGGAUUCCCGGCCCCCAGGAGGGGAACGCUGCUUGAGUCUCUCUUGCAUCUCUCCAGGCUGCCAAGUGCAGCGUGCGGUGCGCAGGCCAGUGCCCAGGUCUCUGUUUCCCUGUGUCCCUCACAUUUAACAGCGGUCGGGAGCCAUGUUGGGGCGUGGGGACAUUUCUAGAGAAGCAGAGGCUAUACUACACCACCACUUCAGAGAGCCUCCAGGUCUGGGGAAAUAACCUCCAAGCCGGGCUGGGCCACACUUAACUACAAAAGCCCGGUGAGGCCGUCCUGAAAUGGAACUGGAAACAACCGCAGGGACCACGAGUCCAGGCGCCAUCUUCCGCGCCCCAUCCCCCAUGCUUGUUUACCCGGUGGGAUCCGUGGCCAGAAAAAUUCCGGUCGCCGCUGUGUGUGUGUGUGUGUGUGUGUGUGUGUGUGUGUGUGUGUGUGUGUGUGUGUGUGUGUGUGUGUGUUGUACUGACUGGAGAGAAAAUCGUGGGGGGCCUGCAGCGAAGUCCCAAGUUCCCCGACAAACCGCCCGGCUGGCCUGCCGGGUCUGGCAUAGUUGUCCCCGGCCACUCCUGUGGCUUUUGGUGUAUUCUUCCAGAUAUCUGGUCCAGGUCUGAAAGCUCUGGACGAGUCCCCACGGACAAAACUCAAAGCUCUUUGUUGUAAAACCAGAGGACAGGCCAACCUUGAGUGCGGCUGCCUUCCCUGUGGUGCGCCUUUGUCCGGCUCCAGGGAACCCCGCGCUCCCCUCACUUCUGCCCCAAGAAAGCUUGAACCCUCAUCUUCCACAAUCCGGAUGUUGUUAGCCGUGUGGACAGGUUUCCACCCAUGUUCCUCCAUCAGGGGAACGGGGAAGAGAUUUAAAAAAAAAAAAGCUAAUUUCCAUUCCUAAGAGAACAUCCAAGUGACCCCCUCUACCCGAUGCCCCGAACCAGCUCUCCGGGGAGUGGAACGCCACUGGAGACUAAGUGACAGGGAUCCUAAGAAAAAGCCAGCUUGUGCCUCCGGUGCUGCCACCGUAGAGUCUAAGGCGGGUGUUUCCGUAGAUCCUAAAUCCGGCUGCCCGGGAGCUCCCGGCCCGGGCGCCGCUAAAACCCGGAGAGGCCAAGCCGGGCCCAGCCACGCUCGCAGUUUCUCGCUGCGGCUGGCCCAUCAGCAGCUGGGUAUCCUGAAGUUCAUCCAGCCAAGGGUAGCCCAAACCCGCCAACAAAACCAAGGAUCUGGUGCCAGAGCCUCGCACGCCACCCCGGACCCAAGCGAGCAGCUCGCAGCCCAGGGGCGGUGGCACCCGGCCACUUCGGAUUUCUGCUCCUCUCAGCCCCGCCUCCGACCCUGGCCUCCUCCUCUGGCCCGGGUCGGGUCUUACAUUCCACUGUCUUGGCUCGAGAUGCAUUUGGUGCGCAGGGAGCGGCCAGGGUCAUAAAUCUGCACUCAGGCCCUCCUCCUCGAGGUAGGGCCAGGCACUCUUUUCUCCUUGGUCAUGGCCUGAGGACCCCGAGACCACGCAGGAAGCAAGCCAGGAGCUUCCUCAUUCGCCUAAGAGAGGGAACUGCCUCACCCUCUCUGUGCCAGCACCCGGAGUCUUGGGCCUCACAGAUCACCGGCAGCUGGGGUAGGGGUCUGAGCCCAGGCACUUCUUUUAGUAUAGUUCGAUGAGGCUGGGGUGGCUGUGAGGUCAUUUAUGCCAAGAAGGAGGACCUCUAGACCCCGUAUUAAUCUCGGGCCCUUACAAAAGAUCUAUUUGGGGAGAGGGAGCAUCCAAGAACCGAUCAAGUGGCUACAGGCAUGGUAUUUGGAGACAGGACCUCAUAGGCUUCCCUCUCCUCCUUGCCAAGGACACCCGAAACGUCUCCUUUGGGUCUGGUUUUCCCGAGUCCACCAUGCGCCUUCAUUCUUAGAAUUGAACCAUCCAGAAAGCAGGCAUUGGUCAUCUGGUGAUGGCGGCCAUAGCGUGACUGUUAAACCUAAGGGGGGGACUACCCAAGGGGGUGUAUUUGCGGUUAAUAACGUCUCAUGCUACAAGAAUUUUCUUUGCCAAAGAGGCAGGCAACGGACCAUUAUGCUGGUCCCUGUGAGGGCAUGGGCUCAGGGUGGGGACAGCUGCGCGGGGCGCACGGAGUGGAGUGGGGGCCAAGCAUUUACCCUCUCUUGGUUGCUUCUCUGUGUCAGAUGCGGGGUGCAGGGAUAUGGAAAGCUUGGAUGGAAAGCACGGAGCUCUUGGAUUCCCAGCGAUGUCUCAAAAACACUAUUAGAGGGGCCGAGGGCUUUGGGUCGGGCGCAGAGAAAUAUGAGCACUGACCCGCGUAGUAGCGGAGCAGCAAGAGGUUGUAUAUCCACAUUCCGGGCCAGGCAGUCCCUGCAAGGCCCCAACGAAGCGCCUCGGAAAAAAAACAAAGCUUUGCCAGUUUCAUCCAAGGUUAAACUCCACCGCAAGCAUUUUUCUUUUUCUUUCUUCUUCCUAUUUUUUUCCCCUCCCCGGAAUCAGAGCGAUAGCGUUACUGCAAAGAAACCGCAAAUAAAUCAACUUCUCGGCAGCCCGCUUUAGAGCUGCGGUGACCUUGGGGGGAAUGUUUUCCUGCUAGACCCGUCCCAGAACUGGCGUGGGGGAGGGGACCCACUGUCAUCCCAGUCCCCCCACACAACCCUAGAGAAGAAGGAGAAGGGGGUGGCCAAGGACACUGGCGGGUGUAUAUUAUGGCAUGUGUGCCCGGGGUGAGGAGUUUGGAAAGAGGUCAGGGGGGUAUUGUGGUUAUUAUUUAAGGGGGACAGUGUCCGGUAACGGGGGAUUUGCUACCGCGAAAAGGCCUGUGUACCCCAGACUGCGGUACCCCCUCCGCAAACGCCAUACUAGUCCCUGGGGAAUGGGGAACAAACCCCGAUGGACAAACGAGGCCUCUUUGGGGACCUCUGGUCUUUGUCUGGGUGUGACCGGGUGUGUUCCGCAGCCAGUUUGUGCGGGGUGUGACUAAUCGGAUUUAUGUGUGUGAGUGCCGGGGUGACUAAUGGAGGGUUUGGCAGCACGUGUGUUUGGGGAGGGGCGCUGCACCUAGGUGGGGACUCAGUGCCCCAGGAGGGGGCUGCCUGAUCUCAGAAGUUUCCUCCCUUCCCCCUUUCUCCUGGCUCCCAGCUUUGUUUGGGCCUCUGCGGGGCUGCCUGGCAGGCCCGUGCAUGCUAGGGAGCUGUGGCUCAAAUUCCACAGCAUGCCUGGCGCCCAGAGGCAGCUCCUGGCCUCCCGCCUCCCUAAGCCACGUGGUACCUCCAAAUCUGGGCUGGCCGCUUCCAAAUUGGGACUGUCCCACCCCCUGAAGCUGAGCCCUCCCAGCAUUUUCUACGUUGCCCAAGGAAGCCACUACAGACGCCCAGCUCUGUGAUCUGUGAUACUGUCCUAAAAGAAUUCAUAGAGAUGUCCGAAGUCACAGCGGCACAAGGAAGUCGCUUAGGUUGUGAGUUCGGGGUCUCUUCGGACCUCCCCCCCCACCCCCCGCUCCGGUGCUGUAAAUGGAAUUCAGUCACUCACACACGGUAGUCAAGAACUCCAUCUACCUCUAGGCCUCUAGCUAGAUCCUAGACCCUAGGCCAUAGGGGUCUUGAAGGUGGGGGUGGUUCGGACCUAUAACCGCCACGCUCGGAAGGCAGGGGCGAGUGGCCAUGUGAGUGUACCCAAGCCAGCCAAGGUUUCAUAGUGAAACCUUGUUCCAUGAAAUGGAAAAUAAGUAAAACUCUAGUUUUUAUUUAUUUUCUGGUUAUUUAUGAUAGCGGAGCUAUCCUCCAGAAGUUGAGAGGUGGAAGUUGGGGUACAGGAGUUCAAGGUCAUCCCAUGGUGUUUAACAAAUGUAGGUCUGCAAUUCAGUCCGUCAGUCUCUCUCCCUUUCUCAAAGAAAUCAAUAAAGGGGGCCGGCAAGAUGGCUCGGCAGAUAAAGGCUCUUGCCACUAAGACUGACACUCUGAGGGCCAUCCUGGGAAGCCGGUAGUCAAAAGAGAACAGCCUUGCAGAUGUAUUCCAUAUACAGAUAGUAGAUGGGUGAGAUAUAUAUUAAAUUAUAUAUACAAUUAAAAUUUUUUUAAAUUAAAAAUAAACAAGGAGAUUCUCUAGUGGGUAGUGGGUGUGGUUAGAAAGGUGGGUGCCGGGGUUGGGGAUUUAGCUCAGUGGUAGAGCGCUUGCCUAGGAAGCGCAAGGCCCUGGGUUCGGUCCCCAGUUCCGAAAAAAAGAACCAAAAAAAAAAAGAAAAGAAAAGAAAGGUGGGUGCCGCUCUCCAGACCACGGACCCCAGGACAGAUUAAUUUGGAGGUCCAGAAACCUGGAUACUCACACAUGCCAUCUCUCAAUUCCACAGCCUCUCUGUGGCUUGUAGGCCGGAAGAUCCAAGGAAGUGGGGAGAUCUAACUAAAGUCACACACACCCCCAGCCAAGAAAGAGAUGGGGAGGGAGGAGGUUGACCCUGACCAGAUCUGACCCAGUACACACUCUCUCUCUCUCUCUCUCUCUCUCUCUCUCUCUCUCUCUCUCUCUCUCUCUCCACCUCACUCCCCCCUCCCUCCUUUUUUUUUUCCUUUUUAUCUCUCAUUAGCAUGCAUUUUCUUUCAAGCAGGAAAGAAAAACAUUUCCCCAUGGCUACAGCUUUGAAAACCCCCUCUCCUCACCAGUCGGGGCGCCCACUCCCCUGUCAAUCUCUUCCCAUCGCUUCCCAUCCGCUGAAAGUCAAAAACAACCCCACCCCCACCCCAAAGAUCAAACCUGGUAGGCACACACACACACACCCUUCACAACCUCGGAGCAGUGCAGUUCUGUGUUUCUACCUCAGCGAAGAGGGAGCAGGCCGCAGGAGAACCCUACCAGCACCUGUGUGUCUCCAGAUUCAGCAGUCACAGCGUGUCAUCUCCCAAGAAACUUCCAGAACUGCUCUGGCAGGGCAGACCCUCCCCCACUUGAUUUUUUUUUUUUUCUUCUUCUGGAAACCUUGAUUCUCCUCCAAGGUGCUCCCUACACUAAUCUAUUCCCCUGCUACAGCUCCCUCUUAGAGGGGAGGGGGGCUCUGUUAUAGAUUGAGUACCUCCCCCCCUAAUUCCUGUGUGUGGAAGCAAUCUCCUCAAAAUUGAAAGCAUUCUGUCACACAGGGAAGCUGUAGGCUCUGAGACACAUGAAGUAAAGCCAACUUAACAGGCUUACACUAGUCACAGGGAGCCUUCCUGAGCAGUAACGCGGUAACGGUCCACAGCCGGGCUGUUGGAGGGUCACUCCCGUAUGUAACCCUGGUACUUCUGACCAAUAAACUCCUUGGUUCACCAA